rnacentral:rRNA from 1 species
AUUGAACGCUGGCGGAAUGCUUUACACAUGCAAGUCGAACGGCAGCACGGACUUCGGUCUGGUGGCGAGUGGCGAACGGGUGAGUAAUGUAUCGGAACGUGCCCAGUCGUGGGGGAUAACGUAGUGAAAAUUACGCUAAUACCGCAUACGAUCUAUGGAUGAAAGCGGGGGAUCGCAAGACCUCGCGCGAUUGGAGCGGCCGAUAUCAGAUUAGGUAGUUGGUGGGGUAAAGGCCCACUAAGCCAACGAUCUGUAGCUGGUCUGAGAGGACGACCAGCCACACUGGAACUGAGACACGGUCCAGACUCCUACGGGAGGCAGCAGUGGGGAAUUUUGGACAAUGGGCGAAAGCCUGAUCCAGCAAUGCCGCGUGCAGGAUGAAGGCCCUCGGGUUGUAAACUGCUUUUGUACGGAACGAAAAGCUUCGGGUUAAUACCCUGGAGUCAUGACGGUACCGUAAGAAUAAGCACCGGCUAACUACGUGCCAGCAGCCGCGGUAA